UCGGAAAGUCUCGUUUACUUUCACUUUCGAUUUACUACUUCCGGGCAGCAGUCGAAAAAUGUCACUUUGUUUUGCUUUGGUUAUGCUCAGAUGACAGCGUUAAAAUGAACCUACAGCCUAUAUAGAUUCCCUACUUAUGCAAAGAGAGGAAGAAGUGGAUUUAUAGAUGCAGAUGCUGUUAUAUACAUCAUUUCCGUCAGAAGUAUCAAUGUGUUGGUGGCUGUUAUGAAGAGAAUGGGCCCAUUUUAACAACUUCUAGGAUGGGCGGUACAAGGGUUCAUACCAGUGACCAAUUUCCCAUGAUUCUUAUGAAGUUGCACCUAAAUCUAAGGGAUUUACAUUUAGCAGGCCAGAGUGCUCAAUGCUGAAUUUACCUCUGAAAGAAUCGCAAUGGAUACAACAAACAUAACACUGGAUUUAACUUUAAAAAUGAAUAACUAGUCAUUAUCUGACAGCAACUACAUUGUGCAAAAUUUGUCACACAGCAAAGGCUAUCACUUGUGAAGCACAAUUGUUCUGAAUUCUAUCCUGGAUCCACCUCUGAUGGUGACAUUGUUGAUCACUGAGGUGUAUUGGAGAUGUUGAAGCCAGCUAAUAUAUGAUUCUUGCUAAUAAAGGAUUUGAUAAACUUUAAUCAGGAGUGACAUUGAACAUAUCACCUUUUCUUUCAUCAAAAUCUCAUUUCAGUAAGAAUGAAGCACAGCUGUUACAAGACCAGGAAGAGUCAAAUUCAUGUGGAGUGUGCAAUUGAAUUUAAUUAAAAACAUCCAUAUUCUAAAUCAUAUACCUUCACAAUACAGACAUAUAUAUCUGUCCACUAAGAUUUUCAACUCUGUGUGACUCUUGUACAUUUGCAAAUCCUCUACUGAAGAAAAUAGCUGAUAUGAAUUUCACAAUUAAUUAAAUCUUACCUUUGGACUUAGAUACUAUAAAUGUACAACUUCUUACUCACAUUAUUCUGGAUUGUCAAGUUGUAUUAAAUGCAUUCAAGUAAAUGAUAAAGUGAACAUUUAUUUAAGGUUGCUAGUCAAAGAAAUUGUUACAAUGGUGAUUCAUGCACAUCUUCACACUGAUCAUUUGUAGCAAAAACAAAAUAAAACUAAUGGAAGACAUUUGAA